rnacentral:tRNA from 1 species
GACUCAGUAGUUUAAUGGUAAAACGUCUGCUGCAGACUCGGAGGGUCUUGAGUUCAAUCCUUGAUUGGGUCA